GUUUAUAGCAUGGCAGAGAAAAUGCUUCAAAACCAUGAAUUUUUCACCAUUUUCAGAUGUUGUGUGUUAGAGCUGCAGUGAAGCAAUAAUGAUUUACACCGACUGUUGACCCAGACUGGUGAGUUUACUGAAUGACUAAUGGCAUUGGCUUAAAACAGGCAUAGCACUGAUCCUGCCAGUGUCCGCCAAAUGGAAUCCUCUUUUUCCAAAGUACGCAGCAGCUGGCAUGAAGUGAGAAAGGACAUUUGGACUUCAAACCCUGGGAUGCUUUGCUUCUGCUACUGCUGUCCAGUGGAAGUGGCUGAAU